rnacentral:rRNA from 1 species
CCUACGGGUGACAGCAGUGAGGAAUAUUGGUCAAUGGGCGAGAGCCUGAACCAGCCAAGUCGCGUGAAGGAUGAAGGAUCUAUGGUUUGUAAACUUCUUUUAUAUGGGAAUAAAAUGUUCCACGUGUGGGAUUUUGUAUGUACCAUAUGAAUAAGGAUCGGCUAACUCCGUGCCAGCAGCCGCGGUAAUACGUAGGCUCCGAGCGUUAUCCGGAUUUAUUGGGGUUAAAGGGAGCGUAGGUGGUUUGUUAAGUCAGUUGUGAAAGUUUGCGGCUCAACCGUAAAAUUGCAGUUGAAACUGGCAGUCUUGAGUACAGUAGAGGUGGGCGGAAUUCGUGGUGUAGCGGUGAAAUGCUUAGAUAUCACGAAGAACUCCGAUUGCGAAGGCAGCUCACUGGACUGCAACUGACACUGAGGCUCGAAAGUGUGGGUAUCAAACAGGAUUAGAUACCCCAGUAGUC